AUUGAACGCUGGCGGCAUGCCUUACACAUGCAAGUCGAACGGCAGCACGGGAGCAAUCCUGGUGGCGAGUGGCGAACGGGUGAGUAAUAUAUCGGAACGUGCCCAGUCGUGGGGGAUAACGCAGCGAAAGCUGUGCUAAUACCGCAUACGAUCUACGGAUGAAAGCGGGGGAUCGCAAGACCUCCCGCGAUUGGAGCGGCCGAUAUCAGGUUAGCUAGUUGGUGAGGUAAAGGCACACCAAGGCGACGAUCUGUAGCUGGUCUGAGAGGACGACCAGCCACACUGGAACUGAGACACGGUCCAGACUCCUAAGGGAGGCAGCAGUGGGGAAUUUUGGACAAUGGGCGCAAGCCUGAUCCAGCAAUGCCGCGUGCAGGAUGAAGGCCUUCGGGUUGUAAACUGCUUUUGUACGGAACGAAACGGUGAGCUCUAAUACAGUUUGCUAAUGACGGUACCGUAAGAAUAAGCACCGGCUAACUACGUGCCAGCAGCCGCCGUAACAC
rnacentral:rRNA from 1 species